GCCGGGAUGGCGGAAUUGGUAGACGCACCCGACUCAAAAUCGGACGGUUAACAGCCGUGUGGGUUCGAGUCCCAUUCCCGGCACCA
rnacentral:tRNA from 8 species